rnacentral:rRNA from 1 species
GAGUUUGAUCCUGGCUCAGAUUGAACGCUGGCGGCAGGCUUAACACAUGCAAGUCGAACGGUAACAUGAGUGCUUGCACUUGAUGACGAGUGGCGGACGGGUGAGUAAUGUAUGGGGAUCUGCCGAAUGGAGGGGGACAACAGUUGGAAACGACUGCUAAUACCGCAUAAAGUUGAGAGACCAAAGCAUGGGACCUUCGGGCCAUGCGCCAUUUGAUGAACCCAUAUGGGAUUAGCUAGUUGGUAGGGUAAUGGCUUACCAAGGCGACGAUCUCUAGCUGGUCUGAGAGGAUGACCAGCCACACUGGAACUGAGACACGGUCCAGACUCCUACGGGAGGCAGCAGUGGGGAAUAUUGCACAAUGGGGGAAACCCUGAUGCAGCCAUGCCGCGUGUAUGAAGAAGGCCUUCGGGUUGUAAAGUACUUUCGGUGAUGAGGAAGGUGGUGUAUCUAAUAGGUGCAUCAAUUGACGUUAAUUACAGGAGAAGCACCGGCUAACUCCGUGCCAGCAGCCGCGGUAAUACGGAGGGUGCGAGCGUUAAUCGGAAUGACUGGGCGUAAAGGGCAUGUAGGCGGAUAAUUAAGUUAGGUGUGAAAGCCCUGGGCUCAACCUAGGAAUUGCACUUAAAACUGGUUAACUAGAGUAUUGUAGAGGAAGGUAGAAUUCCACGUGUAGCGGUGAAAUGCGUAGAGAUGUGGGGGAAUACCGGUGGCGAAGGCGGCCUUCUGGACAGAUACUGACGCUGAGAUGCGAAAGCGUGGGGAGCAAACAGGAUUAGAUACCCUGGUAGUCCACGCUGUAAACGAUGUCGAUUUGGAGUUUGUUGCCUAGAGUGAUGGGCUCCGAAGCUAACGCGAUAAAUCGACCGCCUGGGGAGUACGGCCGCAAGGUUAAAACUCAAAUGAAUUGACGGGGGCCCGCACAAGCGGUGGAGCAUGUGGUUUAAUUCGAUGCAACGCGAAGAACCUUACCUGGUCUUGACAUCCACAGAAUCUUGCAGAGAUGUGAGAGUGCCUUCGGGAACUGUGAGACAGGUGCUGCAUGGCUGUCGUCAGCUCGUGUUGUGAAAUGUUGGGUUAAGUCCCGCAACGAGCGCAACCCUUAUCCUUUGUUGCCAUCGGUUAGGCCGGGAACUCAAAGGAGACUGCCGUUGAUAAAGCGGAGGAAGGUGGGGACGACGUCAAGUCAUCAUGGCCCUUACGACCAGGGCUACACACGUGCUACAAUGGCGUAUACAAAGGGAGGCGA